AACGAACGCUGGCGGCAUGCCUAACACAUGCAAGUCGAACGAAGCCUUCGGGCUUAGUGGCGCACGGGUGCGUAACGCGUGGGAAUCUGCCCUUUGGUUCGGAAUAACAGUUGGAAACGACUGCUAAUACCGGAUGAUGACGAAAGUCCAAAGAUUUAUCGCCAGAGGAUGAGCCCGCGUAGGAUUAGCUAGUUGGUGUGGUAAAGGCGCACCAAGGCGACGAUCCUUAGCUGGUCUGAGAGGAUGAUCAGCCACACUGGGACUGAGACACGGCCCAGACUCCUACGGGAGGCAGCAGUGGGGAAUAUUGGACAAUGGGCGAAAGCCUGAUCCAGCAAUGCCGCGUGAGUGAUGAAGGCCUUAGGGUUGUAAAGCUCUUUUACCCGGGAUGAUAAUGACAGUACCGGGAGAAUAAGCUCCGGCUAACUCCGUGCCAGCCGCCGCCGUAA
rnacentral:rRNA from 1 species